CGGGGUCUUUGUCUCUCGCUGGCGCUGGCACAGGAGCUUGGGAUCCGUCUCCUCUUUCGUCUCCUCCACCUUGGGAGCCCCGGGCUACUCUCUCACAGCCUGUUGCUCUGUGCUGUGUAGGUCCUUGGGGACGCACAGUUAAGGUGCCAGGACAUCAUGGAAGCUGGGAAAUGGUGAGUAUGCGGGGUUCGGCAUCCUGAGAGGGGAGAGCAGCCUGAGAAACCGGCAGGACCGGCCUCCCCACGGUUAGCUCCCAGUCUCCCGCAGCUUGGCCCUCAAUCCCCUGCGGCUGCAAGAUGGCCGCUGGGCCAGCAGCGAGGACCCCCACGUCCGGCCCGGCCCAUUCGGUCCUGUCCCUGGGCAGCGCCCUGCUCUGCGCCCACAGCCAUGACUAUUUCCCAGAUUGUUCAGGGAUGCCAGGUAGGUCAUCAGGGAAAAACCACGACUGGGUGUUUGCGUGGGAGGAGCUGCGGCCUGUGGGGUCCACAGUCUCUCUUGUUAAAAAUUAACGGGAGUCUAUGUUAAAACGUUAACCAGUUUAUCUGAACAAACGGUGAUUGCUGAAAUGGAAAGCACCCAGCCAUGAUUUGUGGUCCACCAGAGGGGCAUAAAGGAAAGGCUUUUAUAAGAUGCAUGAGAAAGCAACCCAAAUUCAUAAAUUGUUUCCAGUUAUGUAAUCGCCUUAUUUGAACUAUCCAGAUGGAAAUUUCCUAGUUACAUAUUCAGAGGUUAAUUGUAUGUUUGUCAUUGGUUAAAUCUGCAUUUUGUUUCAGGCUAAGAUAAUGGUUUAUAGGAAAUGUAUUUGAGUUAGGUUUUAAAUUUUUUUUUUUAACCUAUGAACACAGGGCACUAGAGCCACUUUAGUCUAGUUUUCUGCUCUUUAAUUAUUUGAACACUCCAGAAGAGGACUGGUUUCCUCCUGUUUUUUUAAUGUAUGGCAAAUGGAGCCUCUAAUCGACCACCCUGUUUUUCAGCCUAACUCAGACUUGCAGUAAAAUUAUAAGGUCCUACUUUCUUUGCUGCAUUCUCAAAUGCAACACAUGAGACCAGCUUUCCCUUGCCAAUUUACAAUGCUAUUAACUAUUUGUCCUUUACUAUACAUUUCAUUAAAGUUUUCUAUUAUUGGAUUUCUUUCUACUUCUCCCUACAGUUCUGGCAAUAUUUGCUUUUUAUAUUUAGAAGCCUCCCUUUUGGGCACAUAAAUAUAUAUCGCUAUAUUCUCUUGACAAAUUAACCUCUAUUAUUAUAGUAUGGUAAACUCAUUUCAUGCAUAUGAGAGACAUUGCUAGAAAGUCUAUUUUGUCUAAUUUAAGCAUAACUACCAUUGCACUCCUUUGAUUAUUAUUUGCAUGUAAUAUCAUUUUCUAUCCUUUCACUUUUAGCCUAUGCUCUUAAUUCAUAAUUGAGUCUCCUGUAAGCAGCAUAUUACCAGGUUUAAAAGAUUCAUUUAUCUACUCUGUCUGCUUUAGUGUCUUUUGGCUGCUGUAACAGAAUAUCACAGACUGGUAAUAAAGAAUAGAAUUUUGUUUGACUCAUAAUUCUGGAGGCUGGGAAGGCAAGAAACAUGAUACUGGUAUCUGUUGAAGGUCUAGUUGCUGGAUAAUAACUUGGCCAAAGAUGUGAGGGAGAGAGAGCUUUUUUUUAAAUAUAUAACAGAUCCAUUCUUGUUAUAUUUAGCCCAUUCCCAUAAUAAGAACAUUAGUCCAUUCAUGAGGGCAGAGUUCUUAUAGCUUAAUUAAUUUUUAAAGGUUCCACCUCUUAAUUCUAACACAUUGGCUAUUAAAUUUUAUCCUAAAUUUUGGAGAUGACAUUCAGUCUACAGCAGUAUCUGUUUAGUAGAUAAUUUAAUCUUUUUAUUUGUAAGGUAGUGAUAGGUAAGCAGUUACCAUUGUAAAUUUGUGGUUUUCUGUCCAUUUUAAAUUUGCUUCUUUUUUUUCUGGUUCUGUCUUUCCUGUGGUACUGUUAAUUUUUGUUGAGACAAAGUUACGCUUUCUUGCUCAGACUGAAGUGCAGUUGCAUAUCACAGCUCACUGUAGCCUCAAACUCCUGGGCUCAAGCAAUCCUCCCAACUUAGCCGCCCAAGUAGCUUGGACUACAGACACACACCACAACACCCAAGGAGCUUAUGAUUCUUCCACCUUGGCCUCCCAAAGUGUUGGAAUUAUAAGCAGGAGCCACCAUGUCCAAUGUGUAAUUUUUGUUGUUUGUAUAUGCUUUAAUUACUUUCUCUUUUUUUAUUACAGUUUUUUCCUAGUGGUUAUCAAGAGACUUAUAUAAAACAUCUUGUAUUUUAAUAGUCUGGUUUAAGAUGAUAACAAUUUAGAGUAUUCUGAAUUUCGGUAUGUAUUUAGCAUUUUUAGUGACAUUUAUACUUUAGUAUUUCUCAUAGUGUUAGUUAGCAUUUCAUCUUAUCAAUGUGAAGAUUUCUUCUAGACCAUGGCUGGAGAAGUAAAGAAGGUAGGUUUUGCCUGAUUCAGGGACUAUAGAGAGAACCAAGUUCUGCCGGCCUGUCAGCUGUCUCAGGUGAGUAUAAAUUCUCUUGUGUUUUUGGCAGAUAGUUGCAGUGGCAGGACCAAGGUCAAAGGAGUUAUAGGCAAGUCUACAGUAAGAUGUGGCAGUAUUCGGUUUUGAAGCCGGGACCAUGAUUGGCAAGCUUGCCACUUGGUCAAGUGGUUACCCUCUGAAGAUGUGUUCCUUGGUCUUUGCCUCCAGCUGGGUGUCACAUACUAUGAACUGGAUUCCAAAGCUUUCAUGAAAGCACUUAUGUUUGCUGUGGCAGCUGCAUUAUGUUGUGGGGGAUGUGCACGCAGAACCACCCAUUCUGUCAUGCUGCUUAUGUUACUCUCGUUUAUAUUUCACUUUUUGAAAUGAAUGUCAAGCUGGUGAUUUUUAGAUUCAAAAAUUCUAAAAUAAAUUGCUCAAAUUUACACAUUAUGUAAGCUAUUAAUAAAAUUUCUUGUAGGUGCAACAUAUUUAUUAAAAUUUUUGGUUGUAAUUUCAAGCUCACUGCAGGCAGAAAGGAAUCAUUAACAUUUAUAUUUUUUUUUUAGUCUGUAUCUAAAUGAUGGUAUAUUUUCAUUCCAGAUAUUUACUUUAUACUUCAGUAAUGCUCAGCGUAUUUUGCAAAAUUUUUGUUGUUCUUUUAUUUCGAAACAUAAGGCUUUUUUAGCUCCUGAAAGCUAUAUUAUAGUCAUAUAGUUUUAUUAUAUUUUGUGGUAAGAAGAGCAGAAAUAUAUUGAGGACAUAAUUAAAUUCUCCUAUCUUUUUAAUGAUUAUUAAUUAAAUUCAUCUCUUUAGAGCCUGUUAUUAAUGAUUGUAAUGUAUUUUCUGUAUAAUUUUACUGCAAUUUAUUAAAUUCCAAUGACUUAAAAUGUCUGCUUUUCAUGAGUGCACGCAGUUGAAUGGUGUAGAUAUCUAAAGAGUCAUUUUUUGGCCGGGUGUGAUCACUCAUGCCUGUAUUCCCAGCACUUUGGGAGGCCGAGGAGGGUGGAUCACGAGGUCAGGAGAUCAAGACAAUCCUGACUAACAUGGUGAAACCCCGUCUCUACUAAAUACACAAAAAAUUAGCUGGGCAUCGUGGCGGGCGCCUGUAUUCACAGUAACUCGGGAGGCUGAGGCACGACAAUGGCGUGAACCCACUGGGCAGAGCCAAGAUCACGCCACUGCACUCCAGCCUGGGCGACAGAGCAAGACUCUGUCCUAAAAAAAAAAAAAAAAAAAAAAAAAAAAUUUUUUUCUUUUAAAUCUAUGAUGUAUUCAGGAUUUUAUGUAUUAAAAUCUCUUUUCUUAUGAUCAAUUGCGUGUUAUUGCGUUUCUUUUCUUGGGUAUGUUUUCUCAGAUCAGUUAAUUGUAUUCUUGCUUUUAAAGCUUGAUAUCAUGAGUUGAAUGAUAAUUUUUAGCUCAGUACACUUUAUCUCAAAGUGAUGUUUAAUAUAUGUGUGAAUUAGCUGUGUUUGUUGCUUAUAGAUAUAUCUGUGUGUUUUUCACCUAUUUAAGUCUGACAUCUUUUUUCCUUGUUUGUUUUUUUUUUUUUCAGUUUCAGAUAGGCUUUUUUUUAAAAGAGAAUUUUAAAACAGAGUCAAAAGAACCAAAAUCAGUUAUUUCUCCUCUUGCAGAGUGGGGAGAUAACUUCCUUCCCCACAGGUUUGAGGCUAGGCUAAGUGGUGAGUCUUGGGGAGAUGCAGAAAAGAUCCAUCCCAGGCACUUGGCUGGACUUAAGUAAGCACAGCCUUUGGGCCACAAGACCUGAUGGCUUGGGUACUGGUCUGGACAUAAGUCCCCAUCUUCCCAGAAAUGUAGUCUUUUGUCUGCAACAACUGGCUGGAGAAAUAUUUCAGAAAGAUGUGUGUCUGGAACACCCAAAGGUAUACCUUUCCUUUCUCCUCGGCAUAGGCCUUGCAGCACUGAGGAAACACCAGGUUUACAAUGGAGCCUUCAAGAGUCUUCAUCCCUAUGGAGCUCAGGGGCUCAUAGGGUGACAGGAGAGGAGACAAGCUAACUUGGGAAGUAUUUGUCCUUCAGCUUCUCCCCCACUGAAACACUAUAUAUUGGGGCCACAGUUCAUGGCAAAACAUACAUGCUCUCUUUCUUUCUCUCACACCUACAUCUGGGGAACCCAACAACUUGAUGGCAGGUAGCUCUGGGUAUCCUUGGUCUGGCAUUCCCUCACUGGGCAUCUAAGCUGUCCUAAAGCUCUUUUCAAUCAUUUCUUACUCUUUCCAGGCCCAUGUGGGUAGGUGUUCCAGCCUUCACUCUUUCAGGCUGAUCAUAAAGGCACAGUGUGGGAAAAUCCCCUACUGCGGUGGCCAUUGCUGGGAAGCAGGGAAGGCUAACGGCCCACUGCUGCCCAAGGCUAGUGUAGACACCAUCUGCUCCACUCGUCUCCUCAAAGAUUGAUAUCAGGUGCAGCAGCUGCUGUCUGGAAUGUUAUCAAACCAGGACUGCACAGGCACUGCAUUCUCUGUGUGGAAGAUGUAAGCAGCAGGCAAGUUGUCCAGGAUGAGAGUUUUCCUCAGGUCCGUGCCCAGAUGGCUGAGGUCCUUGACAUAGCAGCCCUGGUGGAACAAACAUGACUCAUGGGCUAGGCCACCCCAGAACACCCCACACUGGUCCAGCACACCCUUCACACUGUGUUUGGAAUUGGUGGGUUCUUGUUCUCACUGACUUCAAGAAUGAAGCUGCAGACCCUCACGGUGAGUGUUACAGUUCUUAAAGGGGGCAUGUCCGGAGUUUGUUCCUUCUGACAUUCGGAUGUGUUCAGAGUUUCUUCCUUCUGGUGGGUUCAUGGUCUCACUGGCUCAGGAAUGAAGCUGCAGAUGUUCGUGGUGAGUGUUACAGCUCUUAAGGCGGCGCGUCUGGAGUUGCUCAUUCCUCCCAGUGGGUUCGUGGUCUCUCUGGCUUCAGGAGUGAAGUUGCAGACCUUCACGGUGAGUGUUACAGUUCAUAAAGGCAUUGUGGACCCAAAGAGUGAGCAGCAGCAAGAUUUAUUGCAAAGAGCAAAAGAACAAAGCUUCCACAAUGUGGAAGGGGACUCGAGUGGGUUGCCACUGCUGGCUCGGGCAGCCUGCUUUUAUUCCCUUAUCUGGCCCCACCCACAUCCUGCUGAUUGGUAGAGCCAAGUGGUCUGUUUUGGCAGGGCGUUGAUUGGUGUUUUUACAAUCCCUGAGCUAGACAAAGGUUCUCCAUAUCCCCAUCAGAGUACCUAGAUACAGAUUGUUGAUUGGUUCAUUCACAAACCCUGAGCUAGACACAGGGUGCUGAUUGGUGUGUUUACAAACCUUGAGCUAGAUACACAGUGCUGAUUGGUGUAUUUACAAUCCCUUAGCUAGACAUAAAGGUUCUCCACAUCCCCACCAGACUCAGGAGCCUAGCUGGCUUCACCCACUGGAUCCUGCACCAGGUCUGCAGGUGGAGCUGCCUGCCAGUCCUGUGCCGUGUGCCUGCACUCCUCAGCCCUUGGGUGGUUGAUGGGAUUGGGUGCUGUGGAGCAGGGAGUGGGGCUUGUCGGGGAGGCUCCAGUCGCACAGGAGCCGAAGGAGGUGGGGGGAGGGUCAGGCAUGGCGGGCUGCAGGUCCAGAGCCCUGCCCCGUGGGAAGGCAACUAAGGCCCAGUGAGAAAUUGAGCACACCAACUGCUGGCCCAGGUUCUAAGCCCCUCACUGUCUAGGGCCGGUGGGGCAGGCCGGCCACUCUAAGUGCGGGGUCCACCGAGCCCACACCCACCCGGAACUCGCGCUGGCCCACAAGCACUGUGUGCAGCCCCGGUUCCCGCCCGCACCUCUCCGUCCACAACUCCUCGCAAACUGAGGGAGCCAGCUCUGGCCUUGGCCAGCCCAGAAAGUGGUUCCCACACUGCAGCAGUGUGCUGAAGGGCUCCUCAAGUGCCGCCAAAGUGGGAGCCCUGGCAGAGGAGGCCCUGAGAGCGAGCGAGGGCUGUGAGGACUGCCAGCACACUGUCACCUCUUAACAGGAUCUGCGUACUUGUUCAGGCUGGAAUGAAUACAGCAAUGAAAAAAACACAUUUAAGCAGUUCCUCCUGUCAUCUCAGGAACUCAUCCAUAUAAGGCCUCAUGAGCAAAUGGAUCUGGUGCCUGGUCUCCUCAAUCUCUACAGGCAUUAGGCAGUCAGCAUUGCUGAAUGCCUUCAAGGAGCUAGGCACAAGGGUUUCAUCCAAGUCAGUGCCCAUACAGAUCCUUCCUUGAUUUUUCUCUGUCACCUCUGGGAGCAGGCAGGUUCCUGGGAUCUGAUAAAACUGAUACUGGAGACUCUGGAGCUGAAUUGACUUAGCAAUGGUGUUGACUACCUCCUUAUGUGUGGAGAGCUCAGCAGGGGAACGUGACUGGCCAACAUGCUGGGUGCAAGAAGAGCAGAAAGGGGCCUUCUAAGGUGUGACAAUCAUGAGACCUCUUCGGAGAGCACUUUGGAAACCAGGACUUGCUUGUAGAGACGUGGUUUCCCCAUGUUGGCCAGGAUGGUCUUGAUCUCCUGACCUUGUGAUUCACUUGCCUCAGCCUCCCAAAGUGCUGGGAUUACAGGUGUGAGCCAACACACCCAGCCUUGAGUUUAUGUUUUUAUUUGGUGCAAGGUGGUCUAUCUGGAAUAUUGUGGCAUGUGUGAUUAAAAGUACUGCAUAUUCUGCUGUUGAGUGGAGAGAUAUAAAUCCUCCACAGCCUAUAAUUUCAAAUGACUUCUUAUCAAGCAUGAAGGAUUUUUUCCUGCUAGAUCAAACCUGUUGCUGGACCUUCUAAUGAAUCUCUAAAUUCAGGUAUUUUACUUUUCAGCUCUACACUUUAUGUUUCUAUUUUGUACUUUUAAUCACUUCGCUGAUAAUCUCAUUAUCUUCAUGCAUUGUUUUAUUUUUCUGUUUAGUUUUCUAUGUCCUUCUUUAGCUGACUGAGCAUCUUUAAGCUAGGUGUUUUAGCCAGGCACAGUGACAUGUGCAUGUAAUUCCAGCUACUUUGAAAGCUAAGGCAAGAGGACUACUGUAUUAAACCAUUCUCAUGCUGCUAAUAAGGACAAAAACAAGACUAGGUAAUUUAUCAUGAAAAAAGGUUUAAUGGUCUCCAGUUUCACAUGGUUAGGGAGGUCUCACCAUUAUUGAAAGGACAGCACGGGAAAAUCCCACCCCCAUGAUUCAAUUGCCUCCUACUGGGUCCCUCCCAGGACAUGUGGGGAUUAUUACAAUUCAAGGUGAGAUUUGGUCGGGGACACAGAGCCAAACAAUAUCAAUUACUUAAGGCCAGGAGUUUGAGACCACCCUGGGCAAUAUUGUGAGAAGCUGUAUGUAAAAAAUAUUUCUACAGAUUAGUCAUGCAUGGCGGAAUGUUCCUGUAGUCUCAGAAAGUUGAAGGCUGAUGUAAGACUAUUGCUUGAGUUCCCCAGGAAUAUGAGACAGCAUUGAGCUAUAAUCAUGGUAUUGUAUUCCUGUCUGGGUGAGAGAGUAAGACCUCUUUUUAGAAUUUCAAAUUUAUUUUAGAUUUAGGAGGUACCUACACAGGUUUUUUACAUGGGUAUUUUUUAUAAUGCUGAGGUUUGAAAUGUGAGGAAUUCCAUCACCCAGGCAGUGAACAUAGUACUAAGUAUACAGUUUUUCAGUUCUUGGUUCCUCCCUCUCUCCACCCUCUAAGAGUUGUCUAUUAUUUUUUUUAUAUAUCCAUUUGUACCUGGUGUUAAUUUCCAUUUAUAAGUGAGAACAUGCAGUAUUUUCGUUUUCCAUUUCUGCAUUCAUUUGCUGUGUAUAAUGGCCUUUAGUUCUAUUAACGUUGCUGCAAAGUACAAGUUUUUUUUUGUUUGUUUUUUGUUUUUUUUUUUUUGCUAAGUAGUAUUGGUGUACAUGUGACACUUUUUAUAUUCAAUUUACCAUUAAUAGGCUGGACACGGUGGCUGACGCCUGUAAUCCCAGCACUUUGGGAGGCUGAUGUAGGUGGAUCAUGAGGUCAGGAGAUCGAGACCAUCCUGGACAACAUAAUGAAACCCCGUCUCUACUGAAAAUAUAAAAGUUAGCCGGGCGUGGUGGCAUGGGCCUAUAGUCCCAGCUACUCGGGUGGCUGAGGCAGAAGAAUUGCUUGAACCUGGGAGACGAAGUUUGUAGAGAGCUGUGAUCGUGCCACUGCACUCCAGCCUGGGCAACAGAGUGAGAUUUCAUCUCAAAAAAAAAAAAAAUUACCAUUAAUAGGCACCUAGGUUGAUUCAUGUCUUUCCUCUUAUAAAUAGUGUAGUGAUGAACAAACAAGUGCAUGUGCUAUUUUGGUAGAAGAAUUUAUUCUCUUCUGGGUAUAUACCCAGCGGUGAAAUUGCUGGGUUGAAUCAUAGUUUAACUCUCAGUUAUUUGGAAAGGCUCCAAGCUGCUCUCCACAGUGGCUGAACUAAUUUGUAUUCCUAUAAACAGUGUAUAAGUGAUUUUUUUCCCUCUAAAACCUCUUCAACAUCUAUUAUCAUCUUACGUUUUAACAAAAGCCAUUCUAACUGGUGUACGAUGGUGUCUUAUUGUGGUUUUUAUUUACAUUUCCUUGAUGGUUAGUGAUGAUGAGCAUUUUUCAUGUUAUUUGGCCACUUGUAUGUAUUCUUUUCAACAGUGUCUGUUUUUGCCCACUUUUUUAUGGGAUAAUUUUUUGCUUGUGAAUUCUUUAAGUUUCUUAUAGGUUCUGAGUAUUAGAUUUUGUCAGGUUCAUAGGUUGUGAAUAUUUUUCCCGUUCUGCUAGCUUUGGGGUUAGUUUGAUUUUAGUUUUCUAGUUUCUCUAAGUGUGAUUUUAAAUUGUUAGUUUGAGAUCUUCCUAACUUCUUGAUGUAGGUAUUUAGCACUCUCAACUUUCCUCUUAACAGUGCUUUUCCUACAUCCCAGACAUUUUGUUAUAUUGUGUCUCUUCAUCUAUUUCAAAAUUUUUUUAAUUUUCUGCCUCAAUUUUCUUGUUUACCCAAAAUUCAUUCAGGAGCAAGUUGUUUAAUUUCAAUAUCAUUCUGUGAUUUUGUGAGACUUUCUUGGCAUUGAUUUUUAUCUUUGUUCCAUUGUGGCCUGACAGUAUGGUUGGCAUAAUUUUAAUUUUUAAAAAAUGUAUGGAUAAUUGCUUUAUGGCUAGGAAGUGGUCAAUCCUAGCUUAUAUUCUGUGAGCAGAUGAGAAGAAUUUACUUUCCAUAGAUGAUGUGUGGCGUAUACUCUAAAUGUCUAUUAGUUUCAAUUGAUCAUGUGUCAAAUCAAACUCCAGAAUUUCUUCGUUAAGUUUCUGCCUAGAUAAUCUGUCAAACACUUAGUGGCGAGUUGCAUUCCCCUACUAUUAUUGUGUGUCUACUUGAGUCUUAUUGUAGGUCUAGCAGUACUUGUUGUAUAACUCUAUGUUCCCCAAAGUUGGGUGCAUCUACAUUUAGGAUAAAUAAGACUUCUUGUUGAAUAGAACUCUUUAUUGUUAUGCAAUAUUUUUCUUUGUUUUAUUUUACUAUUAAUUAUUUAAAGUCCUUUUUUCUUAAAAGAGAAGAAAUUCCAGGUAUGGUGGCUCAUGCCAGCACUUUCAGACUGAGGCAGUAGGAUUGCCUGAGACCACGAGUUUGAGACAAGCCGAGGCAAUAGGAUUGCCUGAGGCCAUGAGUUUCAGACCAGCCGAAGCAAUAUAGCAACAUUCUGUUUGUACAAAUUUUUUUUAAAGAAACUAUACAGGAGUGGUAGUGUGCACAACUGUGGUCAUAUUUACUCAGGAUACAUAGGUGGCAUGACUGCUUGACUUCAGAAAUUUGAGGAUACAGUGAGCUGUGAUUGCACCACUGCACUCUGUCCCAGGAGAUAGAGUAAGAUCCUGUGUUUUGUCACUAGUACCAUCCUGUCUUGGUUACUGUGGCCUUUUAGUAUAGUUUGAAGACAGCUAGCAUGAUGCCUCCAACUUUGUUCUUUUUACUUAGGGUUGUCUUGUCUAUGCAGGAUCUUUUUUGAUUCCAUAUGAAAUUUAAAGUAUUUUUUUUUUUCUAAUUCUGUAAAGAAAGUCAACAGCAGCUUAAUGGGGAUAGCACUGAAUUUAUAAAUUUCUUUGUGCAAUAUGGCCAUUUUCACAAUAUUGAUUCUUCCUAUCCAUGAGCACGGAUUGUUUUCCGUUUGUUUGUGUCCUCUUUCAUUUCCUUGAGCAGCGGUUUGUAGUUCUCCUUGAAGAAGUCCGUUACAUCCCUUUUAAGUUGGAUUCCUAGGUAUUUUAUUCCCUUUGUAGCAACUGCGAAUGAGAGUUCACACAUGAUUUGGCUCUCUGUUUGCCUAUUAUUGCGUAUAGGAAUGCUUGUGAUUUUUGAACAUUGAUUUUGUAUCCUGAGACUUUGCUGAAGUUGCUUAUGAGUUUAAGGAGAUUUUGGGCUGAGAUGAUGGGGUUUUCUAGAUAUACAAUCCUGUCAUCUGCAAACAGAGACAAUUUGACUUCCUAUUUGAAUAUGCUUUAUUUCUUUCUUUCUUUGGCUGGUUGCCAGAAGUUUCAGUACUUUAUUGAAUAGGAGUGGGGAGAGCAGGUGUUCUUGUCUUGUGCAGGUUUUCAAAGGGAAUGCUUCCAGUUUUUGCCCAUUCAGUAUGAUAUUGGCUCUGCAUUUGUCAUGAAUAACUCUUAUUAUGUUGAGAUACGUUCCAUCAAUACAUAAUUCAUUGAGAGUUUUUACCAUGAAGAGGUGUGGAAUUUUAUUGAAGGUCUUUUUUGCAUCUAUUGCGAUAAUCAUGAGGUUUUUGUCAUUUGUUCUGUUUAUGUAAUGGAUUACAUUUAUUGAUUUGCAUAUGUUGAAUCAGCUUUGCAUCCCAGGGAUUAAGCUGACUAGAUCGUGGUGGAUAACCUUUUUGAUGUGCUGCUGGAUUCUGUUUGUCAGUAUUUUAUUGAGGAUUUUCGCGUCGGUGUUCAUGAGGGAUACAGGCCUGAAAUUUUCUUUUUUUGUUGUGCCUUUGCCAGGUUUUGGUUUCAGGAUGAUGCUGGCCACAUAAAAUGAGUGAGGGAGGAGUACCCCUUUUUCUAUUGUUUGAAAUAGUUUCAGAAGGAAUGGUACCAGCUCCUCCUUGUACCUUUGGUGGAAUUCGGGUGUGAAUCCGUCUGGUCCUGGACUUCUUUUGGUUGGUAGGCUAGUAAUUACUGUCUCAAAUUUAGAACUUGUUAUUGGCCUAUUCAGGGAUUCGACUUCUUACUGGUUUGGACUUGAGAGGGUAUACGUGUCCAGGAAUUUAUCCAUUUCGUCUAGAUUUUCUAGUUAAUUUGCAAAGAGGUAUUUAUAAUAUUCUUUAAUGAUACUUUUUAUUUCUGUGAGAUCAAUGGUUAUAUCCCCUUUAUCAUGUAUUUGAUUAUUCUCUUCUUCCUUAUUAGUCUGGCUAGAAGUUUAUUUAUUUUCUUGAUCUUUUCAAAAAACCAGCUCCUGGAUUCAUUGAUUUUUUUGAUGGGCUUUUUGUGUCUCUAUCUCCUUCAAUUCUGCUCUGAUCUUAAAUCUUGUCUUCUGCUAUCUUUUGAAUUUGUUUGCUCUUGUUUCCCUAGUAUUUUUAAUUGUGAUGUUAUGGUGUCUAUUUUAGACCUUGUCUGCUUUCACUUGUGGGCAUUUAGUGCUAUAAGUUUCCCUUUACACACUACUUUAGCUGUGUCAUAUUUUAUUUUUAAGUCCUCAGUCUUUCUUUUUCAUCAUGAUAGUCUUGACUGUUUUAUGUUUCUGUAAUGUAAAAUUGACUACACAGUAUUUACAAAGAUUUUACCAAAAUAUUUUAUUGAGAAUGUACAAACCUGUCAGUCAAUUAGAGGAGAAAUUACAUUGUAGUAAUAAAUAGCCACAAAACAAAACCCCAAAAGACAUCCAAACCAGAAUAAAACAAAACAUUUUAACAAAAACAAAAAUAACAAACUGGCAACAAAUUUGUGCAGUUUAUAUCACAAAGAUGCUCAUAUUUCCACUCUGAAGAGAGCUUUUAGAAGUUCAUUUAAAACAUGGCAAAUACAUUAUACCACACUUCACAGAAAAAAUAAAUUUAAGCAGCUGUUAAACCAUGAACAUAUUAUCAAGUUCAGAUAUAAUCAAAAUUAAAUAUUUCACAAAAGAUUCUACAGUAUGGUAGAAACAGAAAAGCGUUUUUUUUCUUUUCUCCAAGCCCACAAUUCUAGUUUCUAGGGCUCCCUCAAUAUUCUGGGGGUUUUCAUCAACUCCCCAAAAUAUAGGAAGCACAGAGCAGGUGGUGGCUGAAUGUGGGUUAUCCUGUGAAACCAUAUUUAAGAUGAGAGCCCUUGGUCCAUCGUAUUGUAAUCAGCUGGCUCAGGAAAGAAGACCUGGCUGUCCAGAGCUCUACACCUACUGCACUGGGUAUGACAGGAGGCCUGAGAACCCAUGGGGCCCAAACCCACCCCAUCCCAAUAUAUCAUCCAGUUUUGAGGACUCUGACACCAAAUUCUCACAGAGCAUAUGCUUAUGCAGUUUUACAUUUAAUUUCUCAUUACAAUUGGGAAAUUGAGGUCCCAAAAGGGGCAGGGACUUGUCCAGAUCUCAGGAGGUAGGCAGGCUCCAGAGCAUUAGGGAGGGCUCCAGCUUCCUAGGCCUUGGCUCCAUCCCACCUAUCAGGUUUGUUUUGGAAAUUAGAGUCUGUAGCUACACAUUCAAGGGCACAAAAAAUGAGCAAAUCCAGGGUUCUUUUCACAUGGGGACCUCUCCAUGUCAGUUUCAAGAUGACAGGACUGGGGUUCUGCAUCCAGCUCUGAGGGCACCUGGAAGUAAAAUGAGCUAUGCUCCACCUCAGCCUAAUGUAGACAAUGCCUACAGGAAAGCCUGUUUUCUUCCUCAUAAAAAGGAGUGCCUGAAGUGGGUGACCUCGACGAUUUCACAUACUCAUAAGUGUCUGCCUGCCAGAAUUCUUGCUCUGAGACUGAAAAAAUGCAUCCACUCUCUGCAGGUCCUUCAAAUCAGAGGGAAGCAUGGCCAUUUGAGAGGCUUCUUGGGUAGAUGAAGAUGAGACAGAGUUAAAUGUGCCAGAGCAUUGGACUCCGAGGCUGAAGUCCACGAAAUUCCCAGCUACUGUUGGGUUCUUAAGGUCCUCAUUUGAAAGUGGUAGAAAAUGAUUUCACUGGAUAAGGGGAGGAUACCUCAUGAGUAAAUAGCACAACCGAAAAGGUGGAGGCAAAGAGAGGGCAAAAGGGGAUUCCUAGGUCACUCAUUAUACUUGGGACCUUCAGAUCCUGCUACUUUUUCCCCUAGGACAUUGAAGAACCAGUGUCUUGAGGACAGAAAAAUCAACGUACCUGAUUUGUUCCAUAGUGCUCCUUCAUGGGGCUGUAGUGUUAGUGAUGGUCUGGAGGUGGUUACAGCCUGCUGUUUCUGGUGCCCACUGAGCUUUGCUGGAGCAGCUGGAACAAGUAAGAGUCACACACCUCAUGUUGUUAUGAGUGAUCUCCACAUUAUCAUGUGGUGAAAAGAGGAAGGGAUAUGAGAGAUCCCCCAUAUAACCACAGCCAGUCUGUUUUCCCUUGCACUCACCCUUUGCCAGCUAACCUGGUGGGUCCAACAUGUGGUAGAGAAAAUUAUUACAUCAUGCCUGCACCCCCCAACCCAGGACCAAACAGUCUGAGGACAGCUGGACAAAAGCACUAAAGCAAGUAUAUGUGAAAGAAAAGAGCAAGGGCUAUAAUAUAAAGUAGAUUGUUGAGAAGAACAGCUGGAAAAUUAUUGCAUGGGAGGACCUCAGGCCUCACUGGGGUGACUUUUAAUCCAUGAUGAGGAUGACAACAGGAAGGCAUCUGCACAAGCAUGUGUCAGGGAGAAGCCACCCUUAGUGAAGAGACUCAUAGGUGUGACUUUGACAGAGGUUACAAAGGAACUAGUUUGGCUUCAGACAGCCUGAGGAAGAUAUAAGCAGAGGAAUGGGGAAUCCUAGGACCUGGGAGAUGAGGUUAGAUAUCUGCUCCUUUCUGACAACAUUGCCCUAAAACUCGGGACUUUUCAACGACAUAUAAUAUCUCAUAAUUUGUGUGGACCAGAAUCUGGACACAGUUCAGCUGGCUACCUCUGCCUUCAGGUCUUUUAUGAGACUGGGGCUGUGGUCUUAACUGAAGCUGGACUGGGAAAGUAUGAGCCUUUAAGCUGACUCGUGUGAAAAUUGGCAGGGUUUAGUGUGGACAGACAGCCUGACUUUCCUUCUCUCUACUGGUCUGAGCACCCCCUAAGCUCUUUGUUAUGUGGGUCUCUACAUGGAGCAUCUCAUAACAUUGGAGCUUGCUUUCUGUGUUUGAGGAAUACAAUAGAGACAGAGAAUUAGACAAAAAGGUUUACACAAAAAGAGACAGAGAGAAAGAUCGAGGGCGCAAACAGGAAAAACCCAGUAGGAGAAAAAUGAGAGCUUUAAAAAAAUCUUGACAGCGUGCCGUGGCUCACACCUGUAAUCCCAGCACUUUGGGAUGCUGAGACGGGCGGAUCGCCUGAGGUCAGCUGUUUGAAACCAGGCUGGACAACAUGGUGAAACCACCGUCUCUUCUAAAAAUACAAAAUGAGCCAGGUGUGGUGGCACAUGCCUGUAAUCCCAGCUACUUGGGAGACUGAGGCAGGAGAAUCACUUGAACCUGAGAGGAGAAGGUUCCAAUAAGCCGAGAUUGCACAACUGCACUCCAGCCUGGGAUACAAGAGCGAAACUGUGUCUCAAAAACAAAAACAAAUACAAAAAAAAAAAAGAGAGAAAAAAAGACUUGAGAGUUACAAUAAUUUUUCCUCUAUAUUUGUGUUAAAAUUGUAACCCCCGGUGUAAUGCUAUAAGGAAGUAGGAUGUAAUUAACCCCUGAGGGUGGGACCCUCGUAUAGAGAUUACUGGCUUUAUACAAGAAACUGUAGAGGGCUCUCAUCCUCCUUCUACAAAAUGAGGAUAAAACCUGAAGUGUGCAGUCUGAAAUUCAGAAGCGAGUCAUCACCAGAGCUCAACCAUGCUGACACCCUGAUCUCAAAUUUGAACCUCUGGAAGUAUGAGAAAUUAAGUCCUGUUGUCUAUAAGCUGCCUAUCUAUGGUUCUUUGGCAUAGCAGCCUGAACUGAUACAAAAGUGAAAUCCUUUUCUGUAUUUCAUUGGACAGAAGAUGAAUUUGUGC